rnacentral:rRNA from 1 species
UACGUAGGAGGCAAGCGUUAUCCGGAAUGACUGGGCGUAAAGGGUGCGUAGGUGGUUUGAUAAGUUGGUAGCGUAAUUCCGAGGCUCAACCUCGGCGCUACUACCAAAACUGUCGGACUUGAGUGCAGGAGGGGCAAAUGGAAUUCCUAGUGUAGCGGUGAAAUGCGUAGAUAUUAGGAGGAACACCAGUGGCGGAGGCGGCUUACUGGACGGUAACUGACGCUGAUGCGCGAAAGCGUGGGGAGCAAACAGG